CGUACACAAAAGCGCAUGUGCUGUGAGCUCGAUGAGUAGGGCGGGACACGUGGUAUCCUGUCUGAAUAUGGGGGGACCAUCCUCCAAGGCUAAAUACUCCUGACUGACCGAUAGUGAACCAGUACCGUGAGGGAAAGGCGAAAAGAACCCCGGCGAGGGGAGUGAAAAAGAACCUGAAACCGUGUACGUACAAGCAGUGGGAGCCCCACCACUAAGCCAGUGGUGAACUCCACAUACGCAUCCUUUGCUGAAGGUGCGGUUAACGGAGCGCAAGCGACGUUCAACCUCAAAAGAAGCAGAGGGGGCUUAGUGGUGGGGUGACUGCGUACCU
rnacentral:rRNA from 1 species